UUGGUUUAAAUCAUUAUGGAUCUACACUUUGAAAAUUAAACCAACAAAAAUUGGUGGGACAUACAUUGAUUUGAUCAAA
rnacentral:pre_miRNA from 1 species